UGUGUGCCCUCUGUGUCACAUCCUUAGGGUACCUCACGCUACCUCUGCUGUGGUGGUGUAGACUGCCCUCUGAAGCUCUCUGUACCCUUGGAUGAUAGAGGAAGCCUAGAUUUAACUUUUAGAGGGCUAAAGUAGGGUGAGAUGAUUCCUUCUUUUGGUUUCUCCAAAACUCAUAAGAGAAGACAGCGACGAUGUCAGCUCAAUGCUGUGGAGCCAUGUGGGAUAUCUUCAAGAGCCAGCACUCAGUAGAAAAGUGCUGAGAUGCCGACGUGCAAGGCACAGGGUGUUCC
rnacentral:lncRNA from 1 species